rnacentral:rRNA from 1 species
GUCCUACGGGGGGCAGCAGUGGGGAAUAUUGCACAAUGGGGGAAACCCUGAUGCAGUGACGCCGCGUGAGUGAGGAAGUAUUUCGGUAUGUAAAGCUCUAUCAGCAGGGAAGAAAAUGACGGUACCUGACUAAGAAGCCCCGGCUAACUACGUGCCAGCAGCCGCGGUAAUACGUAGGUGGCAAGCGUUGUCCGGAUUUACUGGGUGUAAAGGGCGUGUAGCCGGGAAGGCAAGUCAGAUGUGAAAUCUGGAGGCUCAACCUCCAAAUUGCAUUUGAAACUGUUUUUCUUGAGUACUGGAGAGGG